rnacentral:rRNA from 1 species
GUAUAAGCAAUUAUACCGUGAAGCUGCGAAUGGCUCAUUAAAUCAGGUAGCGUUUAGUUGAUAAUACCUUACUACUUGGAUAACCGUGGUAAUUCUAGAGAUAAUACUUGGUGUACAUCCCGACUUCGGAAGGGAUGUGUUUAUUAGAUAAAAAACCAAUGCCCUUCGGGGCUUUUUGGUGAUUCAUGAUAACUUUACGGAUCGCAUAGCCUUGCGCUGGCGACGGUUCAUUCAAAUUUCUGCCCUAUCAACUUUCGAUGGUAAGGUAUUGGCUUACCAUGGUUUCAACGGGUAACGGGGAAUUAGGGUUCGAUUCCGGAGAGGGAGCCUGAGAAACGGCUACCACAUCCAAGGAAGGCAGCAGGCGCGCAAAUUACCCAAUCCCGACACGGGGAGGUAGUGACAAUAAAUACUGAUACAGGGCUCUUUUGGGUCUUGUAAUUGGAAUGAGUACAAUUUAAACCUCUUAACGAGGAACAAUUGGAGGGCAAGUCUGGUGCCAGCAGCCGCGGUAAUUCCAGCUCCAAUAGCGUAUAUUAAAGUUGUUGCAGUUAAAAAGCUCGUAGUUGAAACUUGGGCCUGGCUGGCGGGUCCGCCUCACCGCGUGCACUCGUCCGGCCGGGCCUUCCUUCUGAAGAACCUCAUGCCCUUCACUGGGCGUGCUGGGGAAUCAGGACUUUUACUUUGAAAAAAUUAGAGUGUUCAAAGCAGGCCUUUGCUCGAAUACGUUAGCAUGGAAUAAUAAAAUAGGGCGUGCGUUUCUAUUUUGUUGGUUUCUAGAGACGCCGCAAUGAUUAACAGGAACAGUCGGGGGCAUCAGUAUUCAGUUGUCAGAGGUGAAAUUCUUGGAUUUACUGAAGACUAACUACUGCGAAAGCAUUUGCCAAGGAUGUUUUCAUUAAUCAGUGAACGAAAGUUAGGGGAUCGAAGACGAUCAGAUACCGUCGUAGUCUUAACCGUAAACUAUGCCGACUAGGGAUCGGGCGAUGUUCUUUUUCUGACUCGCUCGGCACCUUACGAGAAAUCAAAGUUUUUGGGUUCUGGGGGA